rnacentral:rRNA from 1 species
GAUUGAACGCUGGCGGCAGGCCUACCCCAUGCAAGUCGAGCGGAUGAAGGGAGCUUGCUCCUGGAUUCAGCGGCGGACGGGUGAGUAAUGCCUAGGAAUCUGCCUGGUAGUGGGGGAUAACGUCCGGAAACGGGCGCUAAUACCGCAUACGUCCUGAGGGAGAAAGUGGGGGAUCUUCGGACCUCACACUAUCAGAUGAGCCUAGGUCGGAUUAGCUAGUUGGUGGGGUAAAGGCCUACCAAGGCGACGAUCCGUAACUGGUCUGAGAGGAUGAUCAGUCACACUGGAACUGAGACACGGUCCAGACUCCUACGGGAGGCAGCAGUGGGGAAUAUUGGACAAUGGGCGAAAGCCUGAUCCAGCCAUGCCGCGUGUGUGAAGAAGGUCUUCGGAUUGUAAAGCACUUUAAGUUGGGAGGAAGGGCAGUAAGUUAAUACCUUGCUGUUUUGACGUUACCAACAGAAUAAGCACCGGCUAACUUCGUG